ensembl:lncRNA
GAUUUUUAGAUUUUUUUUCAUAGUUUCCAGUGAGGCCAAGCACACUGGGUUGGUGCUAGUCCCACAUUAUUUUAAGCUGCAGUUUGUAGGGUUGUUUUAGUGUGUUUGGUAUGUGCCCCAUCUCUCCAGCUAGACGGCAGAGGAGGUUAUGAGCCUGAUGCCCAGGACACAGAUGACCGUGAUAGGCCCACCCCUGAUUCCCACAAGCAAUCAGAUGGCUUAAGUUCCUACAACUUCAGACGGGGGGGAAAAAGCCCUGUGGCUAACAACCCUCUAUGUACUCUCUCUGCCCGUUUUACAGAUGAAGAAACAGAACGGAGCUUAAGUAGCGAAGGAACCUGGCGAAGGUCAAUCCCCACGAUUGUUGGCACUCCUCUGGUGUGAGCGUGUCUGCUGUGGCAAUAAGUGGGUGAUGCUCACUUUCUCAUGCAAACUCUUCAUAAACCCUCCAUCCAAUGGUCUAAGUCCACAUCCUCAAGGGGUAAUUCAGCAUAAACAGCGCUGCGCCUUGUCAUCGGGCAUCUGACGUCUGUUCACUCAAGACUCUGCACUGAGGCAGUCCUCAAAUUUACCAUCAAGGUGGGCAAUAACAGGCUGCCGGCGAUCACUAUUACUGACUGCAUCUCCAAAUCCUGGGUGUCAACUAUCGCAAGGAGCAACCAAACACCACCUUCUCUGAUUAAAACUCUGGAUUGUUCCACCUGUACGGUCUUUUUAUUCUAUGGGAAGGACCUAGACACUCUGGAGAAUACAAAUCUGUGAGGCAUGGAGAGGUGAGGAAUGUCGACUUCCCAGUCCAGGUUCGCCAUGACCUCAAGCGUGAAUUCAAACCCUGUCUUCACUGAUUCACUGUACACUUGAACUGGGAGCCUGCAAACCCCACGAUGCCUUCAGGCUCAUCUGCUGAGCCCCCACGGCCCUGCUGUCAGCAUUCCUUUCCACAGCAACGGGGACCUUGCACUGACUGACAUCCUCUCUGUGACCAGCUGGCCGCAGCACAGCCCGCCAAUUCUCCAGAUCACAGACUUUAAACAAAACAAAAUUAAAACUCUCCAAUUUCUAGAGGAAAACACAGGAGAAGAUCUUUGCAACUCUGGAGUUGGCAAAGGUCUUAGGACACAAAAGGCAGUAAUUACAAAAGGAAACAUUGAUAAACUGGACUUUUUCAAAAUUAAAACUUAUUCCUUUUCAAAAGAUGCUGUUAAGAAAAUGAAAAGGUAAGCUUCAGACUGGGAAAAAAUGUUCACAAUACACGUAUCUAACAAACAGCCAAAAUAUAUAAAGAAUGUUACAACCCAAGAAAGGAUAAAUGGUUUCAAUUUUGUUAAAUGGGCAAAUGAGUGAACAGACACUUCACCGAACAAGAAUGGCCAAUAAACACAUGAACACAUGCUCGACAUCAUUUGCCAUCAAAGAAAUGCCACGUUACAACCAUGAGAUAACGUCUCACACCCCCUAGAAAGCCUAAAACUAGUAAAACUUACACCCCCAGGUGUUGCUGAGGACGUGGAGGGAUCGCCGUGCGGUCCGAUGGGAGCGUGAAGCCGUGUAAAGCGCUCUGGAAGACAGUCUGGCAGCUCCCUACACAGCUCAGCAUAUGCUUACCAGACUCCUAGAUACCCGCCCAGGAGAAAUGAAACGUUCACCACACAAACACUUGUACACAAACAUGCACAGUAGCUUCAUACAUAACAGCCCCAAAAGAUCAGAAAGACCCCAGAAGUCCAGCAACAGGGGAUGGAAGCAAACUACUGAUACAUUCAUAUAAUGGAAUACUACGUGGCACUGAAAAUGACUACUGAUAUGCAAAGCAACACGGAAAAAUUCCAGAAACAUUAAACUGAGCAAAAGCAGUCAGAAUCAAAAGAGCACACACUAUACGAUUCUAUUUAUAUGAAACUUCAAGAGACAAAACUCACCUCCGGUGACAGAAAACUGAGUCAGUGAUUGCCUGGGGCAGGGGAGGAGGCUAGGCUGUAAACAGGUGAGAAGGAGCUCCCUGUGGUGCUGGAAUGUUCUAGACCUUGAUUGGGGUAGGAUUUCUCCAGGUCUCUCCACUGUCAGAUCUCAGGAAGCCUACCUUUGAAGUGCCUGCAUUUUCUUGUAUGUAAAUUA